AUUGAACGCUGGCGGCAUGCUUUACCCAUGCAAGUCGGACGAGUGGCGAACGGGUGAGUAACGCAUCGGAACGUACCGAGUAAUGGGGGAUAACUGUCAGAAAGGACAGCUAAUACCACAUAUUAUUCGAGCGACCGAUGUCUGAUUAGCGGGUUGGCGGGGUAAAGGCCCACCAAGGAGACGAUCAGUAGCGGGUCUGAGAGGAUGGUCCGCAAAACUGGGACUGAGACACGGACGAGACUCCUACGGGAGGCAGGAGUGGGGAAUUUUGGAGAAGGGGCGCAAGCCUGAGCCAGCCAGGCCGGGUGUCUGAAGAAGGCCUUCGGGUUGGAAAGGACUUUUGUCAGGGAAGCGGUACCUGAAGAAUAAGCACCGGCUAACUACGUGCCAGCAGCCGCGGUAAUC
rnacentral:rRNA from 1 species